CGGUUCGAUCCCAGCUGAGACAUUCCAGAGACUACAUGUUCCAGAGACAUUGCUUCCUCAAUCGACGCUCAGCGUUUUAAAGGGAAACAAGCUUCGGAUGGCGCUGCCCAUGUGAUCAGACGGGAGCUACUGAAGCAGUUAUGGACCAGAGGAAUCCUUGAGGACACUGCAAGCCCCACAAACGUUCGUACACAUUUGGAUGAAGCAUACUCCCUGAUAAAUGUGAUUCCCGGCAGGUUUAACACAUUUGGCAGGAAUGGCUGAGAAUUUCCCAUCAGAGAGCCAAAGGCGGAAGAUGAACCACCAAAAGAUAAUGUGGAGGCUGCGUAACAUGCGGCAGCACUUAACACAGAAUCAACUGAAUCAUGCACAACCACCGCAAAACCCAUUCCAGCGAGUGGUGAGCGAAGUCUGUCCUGAGCCUCACUCUCCGAGUCUGCUACACAUGAGCCUCCAGAACCAGGAUGGCGAGCGCUCAGCCGAUGGAGACCUGGGAAUAAAGCAGCAGCAAGAAGGAUCGGUGGCGUGUAACAGACGAAUGCAAACUACAUCGAACGAUGCACCUGCUGCUCGGCUCUCUCAUUCAUACACCACCCACACCCAUGGCUCAACAGAGCCGGCACAUCUCGGAGAGGGGACAACUCCACCAAGAACCAACCCACGAGAACAGGAAUCUCCGAAUAUACCAGACACACCGUGGGACUCCAACUUGGGGGAACUCUCAUUCACUUUGCAGAGAAAGCUGAAUUCACAGGUGCAGCUUUUCUCUCAAGCCAUUCAGCAAACCAUUACCGAGCACCAGGUGGCUGUGCAUCAGCUGUUUGAGCCUGAUGUCCCUGUUCCUGGGCAUAUCGACUUACAGGCACAGACCAUCACAGAUGGAAGCUUGAAGACCAACAGCUCAGAUGUUACAAGUACAAAUUAUUCAACAAUGUAAGUUUUACAAAAAUUACGUGUUUUCCAUGCUGGACCUACAACUGUUUCUUUGUACACAUUUAAAAUUAAUCAAACAACUUGAUUGUGAUCUGCAGGUGCCGUUUUGUGUGGGCAUAGGGACGAAGACAGAUUGAUGGAUGAAUUUUGCAGACAAGCAAUGGUGAUGGUUGUGAAGGCAAGCAAUUCUUUACUGAUUGCUAAUUUCACCUUGGAGUGACGAUACGCUUCAUUAACAAAACAAAAAAAAAUUAAAAAAAGUUAUGUUUUAUAAAUAAACACGAUCCUAUUAAUUUCCAAUUAGUCACUGGCUUUAACACCAAUACAAAUUUUUAUUUAGGACCCUAAUCAUCAAAAAAGGUACACAUGUCAAACAAACAGUUUCAAAUGGAGCACCUCACCACCAUUAGAGCUUUUACAUUGCAUCAGAUGUGGCAAUAAAUGUGAAUUUUUGCUCCCAGCUUGACGACAGAAAACAC
rnacentral:lncRNA from 1 species